UGACGCUCCACCUGAUAGGGGUCUGUUGGGCAGUUAGAUAAAUCUCAUCUGUUUAGGGAAAUGAAAUUACGUUGAUUAUAUCUGUUAUGAGUAUGUUAGAAAGUAACAGACGGGUAGGAAAUGUCCGGAGAUUAGUAAAUUUGGUAUUAAUGAGUAUUGGUAAAAUUAAAUGGUGAGAUUUAGAUAAUUGCGAUCCCAUUUUUCUCCAAAUCUGCAUAACUGAAGACUACUUGUUCAAAUCUCAGGCUGAAAAGAAUAUUUUUUUUUAAUUUGACUUUUUUUAUAUUUUUUAUUUUUUUCUUUAUGCUGUCAAUUUUUGCAAUGUUUUUUUGUUUUUCAAUUUAAGCCAAAAUUAUGAAUAUGGUGUGAUGGUAUGGAAAAGUUUAAAAAUGUGUAUGAGAAGCAAAAAACGUUAAAUAUGAAAUUUUCGUGUUUCUGCCUGGGGUGAAGUCGUUAAAAAUUCAUUUCUUAGCCAAUUUUCAACCGAUUUUCUUGAAAAAUUUCAAGUAAAUGCCUAAAAUCAAAUUGGAAAUGAUAAUAAUUGAAAAUUGACGACGCAAGAAUGAUUGCAAUAAGAGCACCGUGAAAUAUUAGCUUCCCUCAAAACAAAAAAAAAAAAAACGACUCGCCAUUGAGACUAUAGAGAGGUCCAAACGUAUUGAAAGAGGAAAGGAAAAAUUUAACUUCAUGAGUACAUUUACAAUAACCAUGAACCUGCAAAGAAUACCAGUCCACGUCCCAAAAGGUGCUAAAGCUUACGUUCAAUGUAUUACAAGCUCAAUAGAGCAGUUCAAAGCAGCAGACGAUAACAUGGUAAGGAAUAUGCACCUUCUCUUCUGCAAGAUAGUCUGUUUCUUGUCUUAAACGUAUCAUUUUGUAAAAAUUAAAAAAAAAAUUGAAUCAACAAAAGAAAAAAAAAAUUAAAAUUUGGAACUGGAAAAUGAUUCAAGGGGUGAAGUAGUAUACCCUUUUGAAUGUGCAGGGAACUAAUUCCACUGAGAGAGUUAGUUCCCACUUAGUGGGUUCAAAAUACACUUUAGUAAAUUGGAUUCAGUUCCUAUUCUAGGUUAUAAUUGAAUGUUAAAUUAAAUCCCACUUUCGACAAGAAGUUAAAAAGGAAGAAAAAGACAUAAUUCCCCAAACAAAUCUAGGGGGUGGGGACUUAUCAGCUAUAACAUUGUUUUUUAUUUUUUCAUUAUGUAGCUAUAGACAAUUUAAAAACAAUAAUAAGGUUUACAAAUUUAUUGUUUAGUCAAAAUUGCAUAAUGACUAAAUAAGAUAAUGGAAAGUGAAAUUUGAAUCGAAAAUAAUUGUAAUGUGUAAAUAUUUCUUUUAAGUUCAUAUCAGAAUGAGGAAGGAAGAGUAUAGAAGAAGGGUCUCGUUAAGAGCUUCCUGGUUGUUGGUUGACGCCCAAAUAUUAUCAUUAUUAUUAAAGUACACUCCUUUUCAUCAGAAUAGGUACACAAAUUAUCAGUAUUCGGUUUUUUCUUACAGUGUAGGCAAAAUAUAUAUUUUUUGAUGGUCAUUUGAUGUUUGCAGAAUAAAAACAAAAAAAAAAAAAACAAAAAAGAUUCAAGUGUGGGGUUAUUUUUCUUGAAUCUUCAAGGCAAAGCAUUUCAUAUCUAAAAACUGAGAAUGAUAAAAAAGUGAAAUGAAUUUAAACCAAGUUCUUCUUGAAUUUAUAAAAAAUAACGAAACUGUCCAGGAAUUACAUUGUUUAAUAUCUUCAAGCAAUCUAUCUGAAUCUCUUUUCUAAAUUGUUUAAUGGUGGGUUAGGAAGAAUUUUUGUAUUGAAAUCGACGAUCAUAAAUUUAAUAUUUCUUAACAUUUUAAACAAGGUUCAGGUCUUUUUAAAAUUCAGCCAUUUUAUUUUUUGACCAUUUUGUUUACUGUCCUAACAUUACAAAAAAUAACUGUUUUUCGCUCUUUAUCUUGUCUUUUAUCCACCGAAACUGGAAGCAAAUAUAAACAUUAA